AUUAGAUCAUAGGGCAUUGUCCUCCUGGGUGGAGCCGUCCACUGGAGACCUCAGCACCAUGGGAGCUCCUCCCUUCACUCUCUGUUUCAUGGUCACCACGAGGUAAGCAGCUUUUUCGGCCAGACCCUUGUCCCGUGCCAUUUCUGCAUCUGAGUCUACAGACUACAGGCUGAAAGUCCUCAAACCCUGGUGCUGCCCUGUGAAAAGAGACCCCUUUAGCUCCCUGUAGGAGAAGGGGCAGCUCCUCUUCCCUCCCACCUCUCACAGGAGACCAAGCGCGACAAGGAUUCUGCAGCCAGGAGAGUUUGCCCUCUGAGGGGCUCCAUAAAGGAGGAGCCACUGAAUCAUGCAGAGGAACCACAGCCAUGGACUUCAGGCAGGAAAUUUUCCUUCCAGAAGGGAAAGGGUAACUUCCCUGUGGGGUCACCACCCCAUAGGCUCUUGAACGGUGGGGGAAAGGUAAUA